CAAUAGCGUAUAUUUAAGUUGUUGCAGUUAAAAAGCUCGUAGUUGGAUUUCGGUUAAGAGCGACCGGUCCGCCGUUUGGUGUGCACUGGUUGGUUUUAACUUCCUGUAGAGGACGUGCUCUGGGUUUAACGACCUGGACUCGGAGUCUACGUGGUUACUUUGAAAAAAUUAGAGUGUUCAAAGCGGGCUUACGCUUGAAUAUUUCAGCAUGGAAUAACACUAUAGGACUCCUGUCCUAUUUCGUUGGUCUCGGGACGGGAGUAAUGAUUAAGAGGAACAGUUGGGGGCAUUCGUAUUUCAUUGUCGGAGGUGAAAUUCUUGGAUUUAUGAAAGACGAACUUCUGCGAAAGCAUUUGCCAAGGAUGUUUUCAUUA
rnacentral:rRNA from 1 species